UUGCAGUUAAAAAGCUCGUAGUUGGAUUUCGGAGUGGGCCAGUUGGUCCGCCGCAAGGUGCGUUACUGACUGGUUUGCUCUUCUUCGCAAAGACUGCGUGUGCUCUUGAGUGAGUGUGCGUAGGAUUUACGACGUUUACUUUGAAAAAAUUAGAGUGUUCAAAGCAGGCUAUUGCUUGAAUACAUGAGCAUGGAAUAAUGGAAUAGGACUUUGGUCCCAUUUUGUUGGUUUCUAGGGCCGAAGUAAUGAUUAAGAGGGACAAUUGGGGGCAUCCGUAUUUCGUUGUCAGAGGUGAAAUUCUUGGAUUUACGAAAGACGAACAACUGCGAAAGCACUUGCCAAGAGUGUUUUCAUUAAUCAAGAACGAAAGUUAGAGGAUCGAAGACGAUCAGAUACCGUCCUAGUUCUAACCAUAAACGAUGUCGACUAGGGAUCAGCGGGCGUUAUCGUGCGACCCCGUUGGCACCUUACGGGAAACCAAAGUUUUUGGAUUCCGGGGGAAGUAUGGUUGCAAAGCUGAAACUUAAAGGAAUUGACGGAAGGGCACCACCAGGAGUGGAGCCUGUGGCUCAAUUUGACUCAACACGGGAAAACUUACCA
rnacentral:rRNA from 1 species